CUAUGUGUUGCUGCAUGCAUACGAAUUCUGUUCCGAAAAAUAAAUCAUGCAAUCAAACAGUACAACACUUCAAUUAUUGGGACUUUUUGUGUCAAUUAGAGGAAGAUAAUGAUAACACACAAUUACUGGCCACCGAAGGUACGACGAAGAAUGCUUAUUCCAAUCGAAAAUCAUCUUCUAUUUUUUGGGCUUUGAUGUUUCGUUUCUUGAAGUCAGGGGCGGAUCUAUUCUAAGAAGGCAGUAGGAGU